ensembl:lncRNA LOC102553493 uncharacterized LOC102553493
GGCCGACCCACCUUGCGGGACUGGUACACAAAUUCAUUCUAGGGCUGGGGCAGAGCUCUCGUUGGACUCAAGCAGUUCGCAGUUUAACGCAGAAAGCGGAUAUGCAAGCAACCUUAAAGUUGUUCGGGGUUCUGUGAACCAUAGGUACCUUCAAAGAGCUGGCGAGAUGGCCAAAGAAGAAGUUCUUUACAGGACAAGGAGGAGUGACCAAUGAGAGCAUUCCCAGCGAGUGUUCUUGGAUCACAGCAUCAGCUACCUUUGAAAGUCUUUGUCAUUUGUCUGAAGACGUCUUUGGGGAGCAUUGUAAACUUCUACUGUCCAUUAACUGCAGUUUGAGAAGAGUUGGAGGAGCAAGUAUGGAGAGGACAGAAAAGAAAGUAUGGAAGCCAUGCAGCCCUGGAGUCUGAAGCAAGUUUAUUAGGGCAUGUAGGGAACUCCUUUCUAUUCUGGCUUUGGCUAGAGCAGAAACUAUUCUUGGUAAUUAAAAAAAAGUAAGCUAAUAAUUUAAUUAAUCAUUGUAGAGGUAAGAAGUAACAGGAAUAGUUCCUGAGACAGUCUGUGAGAAAGUUUAGCAUGCAUUAUGUAAAAAUAUUCUGUUGCUGUGAGAGUGAAACUCCUGCUCUCUGCUAAAUCCUGAUUGAUUCUCCAGGAAGAGAGCAGGUUAACAUGAUUCAUUUGUGCCUUACGUUGUCAUUCCUCUGUCAUUAUUAAUAUUGGCUAAUGGAGCUCGGAACUCAUCCAUGUGUAGCCUGAACUUGACUGAGCAAGGGGUUGCCUUAUUCUUUCCUGUAACUAGCCCGGGUGUGCUGUUCCCAGGAAGAAAGACUGUGCUGAGCGGAACUCCCGAAUCGAGGUGGCUUUUUUUGAAACAUCAGAGGUCACAGUUCAAAACAGAAAAAGAAAGAUGGAUGAAGGGAGAGGGAGGACAGAAAAGGGAAAGAAUGGCUCAAUCACUGCUUGUCUUGUCAUCAGAAAAGUAUGCUUCUUCAUUACACAAAACGACCAGGUGCUGACAAGAGCUCAGUAACCUCCUAGGGGUGGGGUGUGUGGCAGCAGUUCACCUUGGUAGCUGCAGAAAUUGCUGGCAGUAGUCCCUCCCACAACUUCAACUGGCAGGGACAAGGAAGCUCAGACCCACUAUAAUGAGAUUGACCCCUGUGCUGAAACCUUCACCCCCAAGGAGAUUGCAUGAGGAGGUGGUGCCUUUAAGGGGGAGGGGCUGUGCAUGAUCAUGAAAGAGGAGCCUCAGGAUGGGAUUGGUGCUUUUCAGAGAGAGAAUCCAGAUGUCCUUCUCUCUCACAUGCUCUGGGAAUGCAACAUGACAGUCUUUGGGAACCAGGAAUCAUAGAAACAAAAUCUGGCAGCCAUUCGACCUUGGACUUAGCCUUUAGGACUUUAAAGGAUAAUUUUCUGUUAUUUUAAGCCACUUUAAGUAUUUUGUUACAACAGCUCAAAUGGACUAAGACAGGCAAAAUUACACACUGACACAGAGUAACAGUCUUAAAUUCCAGACCCAUAUUUCCAAAGAGCAAUAACUGAGGAAAGUAUCCCCUGCCAUUUCCUUGGAUGCAGAUGUUUUUGAGGGUGAAUUUUAGUUAGGGACACCAGUACAGACCUCUCACAUCUGUUUCAGAACCCAGCCCCUCUCUAAACAUCUGAAAAUGCUGUAAGUCAAAAAUUGCCACCAGUGAAGAAGAAUUUUAGAAAACUGUACCAGAGGGAAUCCCUGUGAAUUUUCUAGUACAUAUGUCUUCAAAUUUGCCCCUUUAUAGGACUAAUAUGUAUUUUAUAUUAUUGACAACUGAUUCAUUUCUAAAUUAUUGACUUGAACCAUAAAACAGUUUAGUCAUCAGCUCCCCUGGACAAGGGUCACAUAUUUUUGUUUUUUGUUUUAUUGUUUUUGUUUUGUUUAAUACAAAAGAUGGGUAAGAGAUUCAAAAGCAAAGGCAGGCUUCUUCUUUUAGUGUUCCGCCUAGAAAAGACAGGGAUGUGGGAAGGGGAGCAUAGAGAGACAGACAUAAGGAUAGGGCUGGAGCUGGCUCAGUAGUUAAGAACAAUCCUUGCUUUUGCAGAAGACCCAGUUUUCAAUUCCUGGCACUCAUGUAAGGCAGCUCACAAUUGCCUGUAACUCCAGCUCCAGAAACCCAGCAGGCGCCCUCUCCUGACUUAUAUGACUUUUAUCGUCAGUACAUGUCACAAGAAAACAUUUAAAACGACACCAAAACAAUCUCUGAAAUCAUGGUGCAUGGAGGAAAAAGGUGAAGAAAACAACUGUUGGCUUCUUUUGGCAUGAGACCUUGAUACAAUUUGGGUUCCCCAAAACCACGUGAAGGGUGAUAAAAUAGAAAUGCUCAAAACUGACUUAAAAAAAUAAACAGGCUUUACAAAACCCUCUUUUUUUUCUGAACCCAGCCACUUCUCUACAUGGUCUGCACUUACAGUAGAUACAUUCAUUAUUGUCCAAGGGAAGACAGCCACUGCCUUUCACUUAAAGAGCUUGGUGGAGAGGCUGAAGGGAUACGCUGCAGCCGAAGAUGAAGAAACUGAGGCACAAAAAGGCCAUCAAUUUUUCUUCAGUCUUUCCUGUGGAUCUGGUGCCAUUCCAAGCAAGGAAAACUCUGCAUCUCUUUCUGAAUCCUUGGACGUCUCCCAUUGUGUGCCUAACUCAACAUUUGCCAUCUAUCUACCUUUCUAUCUAUAAUAUAUUAUACGUACUCUUAUGUAUAAAAUAUAAAUAAUUCUUAGACUCCCA